rnacentral:lncRNA from 1 species
AAGAUUCCCUUGAGAACAAGUACUGUCCCUAGUUUCCCAGUGCUGGAAUAUAGAAAAUGGAUGGACAACUGGACCUACCAUGAAAGACUUCUGAAUCCAAGAAGAGAAACUGACUGGGCAACAUGUUAUUCAGAAACAGGACCUUGCCCUGUCACUCAGGAUGGAGUUCAGUGGUCCUAUCAUGGCUCAUUAUAGCCUCAAACUCCCAGGCUCAAGCAAUCCUACCAUGUCAGCCUUCCCAGUAGCUGGGACUACAGAGACGAGGUUUCGCCAUGUUUCCCAGACUGUUCUCAAACUCCUGAGCUCAAAGCAGUCCACCCACCUUGGCCUCCCAGAGUUCUGGGAUUACAGCUGGAUCUACCAUGAAAGACUUGUGAAUCCAGG